rnacentral:lncRNA from 1 species
AGAGAAACAGAGAGCAGGCAGCAGGGACCUGUACAAGCUGAGACACUCGAAUGAGUUUGAAGAAUAGGGUUUUUAUGCAGUUGCAACGCUGGGCCCCGACUGGUCGGCGGUGCCACCUUCUCCAAUUCAAAUUAUGCAAAACUACCUGAUUGGACAGAUUUAAACGCUUAUUUCAGCACAGUGCCCCCCUCAUACAAACACAUACAACAGCUCGUACAGAGCAUUAGAAUGUUUUACCAACUAAGUAAGUACCAAGUAAUCAAUAUUUGCCUCAAAUGAUUCAAACACUAGAAACAAAAAACAAUAAAGUGUUCAGUUUAACAGAAGCAGCCGGGUGUCGAGGCAGCCUUUGUGUAAAUGCAACAGCAGCGAGUGUUACAUUGAUUGUGACGUACUGCAGCGGUGUUAAUGUCCGGCAGUAUUAUGUGUGUCAAGUGGCUGUCCGGGGAUGGAUAUAUGAUCCUGCAAACUGGCCUCCCAAAUGUGGGGGUGCCAUAUGGUAGCUCAGAAAAAUGGAAGUGGAUCGGAGAGCGACACGAGAGGAAUCUUUCAUUGUGGGGCUCGGAUGUUGGGAUCUAUGUGGAGCCCUGGCAAUUGUCUCUUUCUCUGCAGUCACAGGUAAGAUGCAUCAGCAACACAAGAAUAAAACCAGGACUCUCCAACUCCGGUCCUGGACUAUUUGAGCUCUUCUGUCAGCCGUCGAGCAGAGGGACAGUGUUUUGGGCGUGUGACUGUCUUGUUUUGCUUCCGCAGUUGCAGAGGAUGGGUGAGUCAGUAACAGUGUCAGGCUGCCAUAACAGAAGGCCUGCGUGAAAUAAUUACUAGGGAGUCAUUUGGCCGCGCGGCUCGGCUCGGCUCGGCCCCAGGUACCCACUGUGCACAGAGCGAGAGUAGACGACCUUUUACUCAGCUCCGUCCCACUGCAGUCACUUAAAACAGUGAUGGAUGGUUCCCUCAACGCCCUGCUCCCGAGCAGCACUCCUUCUUUGCUCCUCACCCUCCCUCUCAUCUCUUCCCACCGCGUUUCCCCCUUUUUCCCCGUCCUCUGCACCACUUCAGCGCCACCCUCGCCUUAUUUGUCCCAUCUCCUCCGCUUGUGUUCCUCCCGUCCUUUUACAGCCUCACAUUCCCUCUGUUCUUUCCGAGUGAUGCGGAUGAAGAGGAAGAAGAAAGGUAGGGGGCUCGAAGGAAAUGGAGGGGGGUGGGGGGUUGAAGUAAGGUGGAGGAGGCAUUUCCUGCCUUCGUAGGGCUGAGUCGAGUCAAGCUACAACCACCACCCUGCGCUGCACGUUCUCCUUUCAGCUGCUCAUUAGUAUGCGGCGGCUGUUGCUCAGGUGACACGGCCUCUGGAUUCGGUCCCGACUGCAGGAGCAUCAGCAGCGGGUAGCAGGUAAGGACAAAAAGAACGGGAGGGAGAGAUGUGAAGGAGGGGAGGGGGAAGGGCAAGCGCAGCAGAGGAGGCACUUCUGUGAGGCCUUGCACACACUUUUACACUUUACUUUGCUGCAUACACACAUAUUUUCAAGUCCAGCUUCUUUCCCAAGUGUGUUUCAUCGUAUCUAAAUAAAAUAAACUGGCUCAGAUGUGCUACUUGAGCU